rnacentral:miRNA from 1 species
CUUCCGAUUGAUGAGGAAGCUAUACCUCAUCAACAGGAAGGGAUCCCUUCCAGUCGAUGAGGUUGGGGGGUUCGCAGCAAGGGCUUCAUUUACUGGAAGGACUCUCCUCUGGUCGAUGAGGAAGCUAAACCUCAUCGACCGGAAGGGAUCCCUUCUGGUCAAUGAGUUCAAUCUUCCUCAUCAAACGGAAG